GAAGAGAGGGGGUCGGAAAGAGGGAAGAAGAGGCAUCAUCGGAGAGAGUUUGAGAAGAGAGAAAGGGAGGGGUCUAAGAGGAGAGCGCUCCGGUUCCUCCUCAGGAGGGUCGCCGGCAAAUCUCUUCCCCCUCCCAGUGAGCUAGCCUCCGUCACCGGACGUCCAUCGCCCCGGCCACCGCGUUUGGUGUUGGCGAGUCAAGAACAGAGGGAGUUAGAGAGGAGAAAGAGGAGGCCGAGCGAGAGAGUAGAGCGAAAUCGGAGAGUCUCGAGUCUUACCCGCUCACCGGAGUGCCACCCGAACCUUCAUCGAGCUGUCCAGCCGCCGCGCUUCGUCUCGGACAGACCCGAACCAGUCGACCGCAUGUGUUUUCCGUCGUCGGGAUGCCGUUCCUUAAACCGGAGCAGCCAGCGGUUCAAGGCCGCAAUCGUUAGUCGUUUAUCCUCAUUCUCUGUUUGUUUGUGCUCGUUUUGUCUGGGUUAAACGUUUGCGACGAGGGCCGAAAGUAGAACAAUCGGAAAGUAAGUUUUGGUCGCCGGCGAAGGGGUGUGUUUUUGGGGUCGUCGGAAUGGUCCCCGGAAUGUCUUGCCGGCUAUGACGGCAUAAGGCCGACGUCUGCCGUCAGCGCUGGCGGCCCGAGCCGACGGCCGGUGGUGGGUGGCCACGGCGUGGUCUCAGUUGAAGAAGAAGAAGAUUCGGUGAAGAAUAGCAAGAAGCAGGGGAAAGUCUUCUGGGCAGAGAGGAUCACGUGCAUGGGCAUGAAGG